UACGAAGGGGGCUAGCGUUGCUCGGAAUCACUGGGCGUAAAGCGCACGUAGGCGGCUUUUUAAGUCAGGGGUGAAACCCUGGAGCUCAACUCCAGAACUGCCUUUGAUACUGAGAAGCUUGAGUUCGGGAGAGGUGAGUGGAACUGCGAGUGUAGAGGUGAAAUUCGUAGAUAUUCGCAAGAACACCAGUGGCGAAGGCGGCUCACUGGCCCGAUACUGACGCUGAGGUGCGAAAGCGUGGGGAGCAAACAGG
rnacentral:rRNA from 1 species